GUGGGGAAUAUUGGACAAUGGAGGCAACUCUGAUCCAGCCAUGCCGCGUGUGUGAAGAAGGCCUUUUGGUUGUAAAGCACUUUAAGCGAGGAGGAGGCUUACCUGGUUAAUACCUGGGAUAAGUGGACGUUACUCGCAGAAUAAGCACCGGCUAACUCUGUGCCAGCAGCCGCGGUAAUACAGAGGGUGCAAGCGUUAAUCGGAUUUACUGGGCGUAAAGCGCGCGUAGGUGGCUAAUUAAGUCAAAUGUGAAAUCCCCGAGCUUAACUUGGGAAUUGCAUUCGAUACUGGUUAGCUAGAGUAUGGGAGAGGAUGGUAGAAUUCCAGGUGUAGCGGUGAAAUGCGUAGAGAUCUGGAGGAAUACCGAUGGCGAAGGCAGCCAUCUGGCCUAAUACUGACACUGAGGUGCGAAAGCAUGGGGAGCAAACAGGAUUAGAAACCCCGGUAGUCC
rnacentral:rRNA from 1 species